rfam:Triticum aestivum genome assembly, contig: Triticum_aestivum_CS42_TGACv1_scaffold_225573_3B
CAUGUACUCCCUCCGUUCGGAAAUACUUGUCGAGAAAAUAGAUAAAAAUAAAUGUAUCUAGAACAUAAAUAUGUCUAGAUACAUCCAUCUCCGCGACAAGUAUUUCUGGACAGAGGGAGUGUAUA